GAUGUGGCUCAGUGGGAGAGUGCUUACCUAGUAUGCAUGAGGCCCUGAGUUCAAUGCUCAGAACAACA
rnacentral:tRNA from 1 species